AGAACACCAACCCGCCAAGAAAACUGGAACGAAGAGGAGAAGAUGUGAUACGGGAACAUCGAGCCUAAACUGAGAGCAGCCGGAUGUGGAUCCCUGUGUUGGCGCGAGUGGCAGGAACCUCAAGUCUCUCCAAGUGCUCCGCCUGUCUUUGCUUUCCAACCCCACCGGUCCUCCAGAGCAUCACGUGAGAACACCAACCCGCCAAGAAAACUGGAACGAAGAGGAGAAGAUGUGAUACGGGAACAUCGAGCCUAAACUGAGAGCAGCCGGAUGUGGAUCCCUGUGUUGGCGCGAGUGGCAGGAACCUCAAGUCUCUCCAAGUGCUCCGCCUGUCUUUGCUUUCCAACCCCACCGGUCCUCCAGAGCAUCACGUGAGAACACCAACCCGCCAAGAAAACUGGAACGAAGAGGAGAAGAUGUGAUACGGGAACAUCGAGCCUAAACUGAGAGCAGCCGGAUGUGGAUCCCUGUGUUGGCGCGAGUGGCAGGAACCUCAAGUCUCUCCAAGUGCUCCGCCUGUCUUUGCUUUCCAACCCCACCGGUCCUCCAGAGCAUCACGUGAGAACACCAACCCGCCAAGAAAACUGGAACGAAGAGGAGAAGAUGUGAUACGGGAACAUCGAGCCUAAACUGAGAGCAGCCGGAUGUGGAUCCCUGUGUUGGCGCGAGUGGCAGGAACCUCAAGUCUCUCCAAGUGCUCCGCCUGUCUUUGCUUUCCAACCCCACCGGUCCUCCAGAGCAUCACGUGAGAACACCAACCCGCCAAGAAAACUGGAACGAAGAGGAGAAGAUGUGAUACGGGAACAUCGAGCCUAAACUGAGAGCAGCCGGAUGUGGAUCCCUGUGUUGGCGCGAGUGGCAGGAACCUCAAGUCUCUCCAAGUGCUCCGCCUGUCUUUGCUUUCCAACCCCACCGGUCCUCCAGAGCAUCACGUGAGAACACCAACCCGCCAAGAAAACUGGAACAAAGAGGAGAAGAUGUGAUACGGGAACAUCGAGCCUAAACUGAGAGCAGCCGGAUGUGGAUCCCUGUGUUGGCGCGAGUGGCAGGAACCUCAAGUCUCUCCAAGUGCUCCGCCUGUCUUUGCUUUCCAACCCCACCGGUCCUCCAGAGCAUCACGUGAGAACACCAACCCGCCAAGAAAACUGGAACGAAGAGGAGAAGAUGUGAUACGGGAACAUCGAGCCUAAACUGAGAGCAGCCGGAUGUGGAUCCCUGUGUUGGCGCGAGUGGCAGGAACCUCAAGUCUCUCCAAGUGCUCCGCCUGUCUUUGCUUUCCAACCCCACCGGUCCUCCAGAGCAUCACGUGAGAACACCAACCCGCCAAGAAAACUGGAACGAAGAGGAGAAGAUGUGAUACGGGAACAUCGAGCCUAAACUGAGAGCAGCCGGAUGUGGAUCCCUGUGUUGGCGCGAGUGGCAGGAACCUCAAGUCUCUCCAAGUGCUCCGCCUGUCUUUGCUUUCCAACCCCACCGGUCCUCCAGAGCAUCACGUGAGGUAGGUCCGUGCUCCCAGAGCAGAUCUCCAGGGCUGGGUGUUCAGCAGCCCUAGGCCUCCACCCGCCUCCCCGUUUCCGUUUCUCUUCCUCCCUCCGGUGAGCUCGGGUGCGGGAAGGGCCUGCCGGGUCCCUCCGGAUCACGGCUUUGGUACGUCACCCUUCACCUUGAGGUGACGGCCUGCCGCGGCAGCCUCCUCUCCUGCUUCUCUUCCAGGAUCUGGUGUAGUUGUUGUAUUUCCACACUGUAUGAAUGUACGCAUGUAUGUGGUUUUCGGAGGAGGUUUCUGCCUCCCCUCUCACACUGCCUGCCGUCUUUAAUCCCACCAAGCCAUCUUUAAUUUUUUUUUUUUUUUCUUUUUCAGUUUCAGUUUCACUUGGAUAGGGUACCUUUUCCCACCCCUUCAACUUGUAGUUUGUCUGUGUGCUUGGAUCUCAAGUGAGCCUCCUGUAAGGGAGCACGUAGGCGGUCUUGAGUUUUCAUCCAUUCAUUCAACCCUGUGUCUUUUGUUUGGAGCAUUUAAAGUCUUUCCCUUUACUGUGAUAAUUGAUAGCUGUGUCCUUAUGGCACUUCUUCAACUUGAUUUCUGUCUCCUUUUCGCUUGUAGUUCUUCUCUGUGCUUUCAUCGUUGCUCUCCUGGUUAUGAGCGAUAGGUUUGUUGAGUAUUAUGCUUUCUUACCUGUCUGUCUUGUCUGUCUGUCUGUCUGUCUGUCUGUCUGUCUAUCUGUCUAUCUUAUCUAUCUGAUCUCUCUACUCUCAUCUAUCUACUGUCAUCUCUGUGUCUAUCUAUCCAAACUAUCUAAUCUACCACCUAUCUGUCUGUUAUCUGUCAUCUAUAUGUAUCUAUAUCAAUGUGGCUAUCUAACCUAUAUGUAUCUAUAUCAUCUAUCUAGUCUGUCAUCUUAUCAAUCUAUCUACCUGUCAUCUAUCUAUGUGUAUCUAUAGGUGUCUGUCUAAUCUGUCCACCUGAUCUAUCAUGUAUCAUCUAUCUAAUCUGUCUGUCUGCCUAGUCUGUCUAAUCUCUCUAUAUGUAUCUAUAUGGUCUAUGUAACCUAUCAUUCUAUCUCAUCUGUCAGUCUGAUCUAAUCUAUCCAUCUAUCUCAUGUAUCUGUCUCAAUCUAUCUAUGUGUUUAUUUAUUUUGUCCAUUUUUGUCAACGUACCGUCACUAGGCGCGCAGUCAUUCCUCUGUCUCCUUCUCAGUCUUGAUUCCUUGUGUUUGUUUCUGUGAGUUAGCUAUGUCUUUGGGUCUUGAGAGGAGUGGCCAUGGGUUGGAACACCUGGGUAGGUGGCCCGAGUCCGCUGGGUGUAGAUGGCCGGCUGGACUCUCUAACCAGUGCGGGCUGGGGCCCUCCGGGUGCUCUGCCCUGGGGCUGGCCCUGCCGGGGCGGCUGCGUGAGCUGCGGGGCAGAUCCGAGGCCCCACACAGGGAGCACCCCGGCCGGCCUGCUGGGGCCGAGGCAGGUGCACGCCCAGUAGUAGGUCUGUGUGCCUGCGCGCCGAUGUCACCUGGGUGGCCCUGCUUGGCCGCCCAUCUCCAGAGAGCAUGUGUAGUCGCAGGUUCAGUGAGCCGCCUUCUUGGGGACACGCGGGGCUGGUGUGGGCUAGUGGCCCGUGGGCUUGCUGAGGUGGCAGGCCAGCUAGCUCGCGGGGAAACUGCUCCCCUCUGUUGUCAAGGUGGAGGUGGAGUUUCAGUGCAUUUAGGCAUUUAGAUGUGAGUGAGGUCUAUCUGAAAUGGAAUAGUAGCAUUUAGAGCUGUGUUUUCUGUUGGUGUGGAAAGGGUGCUGAGCAUAAAGAGUUGGGUGGCGGUGGCAGGAAUUCGAGGAAUGUUGAUGUCCUUGCAUUUAUUUAUGUUCUGUUAAGGGAAGUGAUUCUGAAGUAACUUUUUACUCAUGUAUGAAGGUGGUGCGUAAGGGUCACCCCACGUCAGUCAUGGUGAGAUGAAGUGAGGUGGUAGAAUUAAAGCCUGUACCCCUUGGCCUUAUACGUAGGAGACGCACCGUGGGUGCUCUUUGCUGCUCUCCUGUCCUGGCUUAUUGCCUUAACUAACGUGAUGGUUCAGAGUGGUCCCAGCGAGAUUUCCAGCAAAAUCUUUCUACAAUUGCAUA